AAACUUUCAACAACGGAUCUCUUGGUUCUCGCAUCGAUGAAGAACGCAGCGAAACGCGAUAGUUAAUGUGAAUUGCAGAAUUCAGUGAAUCAUCGAGUCUUUGAACGCACAUUGCGCCCUCCGGUAUUCCGGAGGGCAUGUCUGUUUGAGCGUCAUG
rnacentral:rRNA from 1 species